GUCGACUAGAGUUUGAUCCUGGCUCAGAUUGAACGCUAGCGGCAUGCUUUACACAUGCAAGUCGAACGGCAACGCGGGGUAACCUGGCGGCGAGUGGCGAACGGGUGAGUAAUACAUCGGAACGUGCCCUGUGAUGGGGGAUAACUACGCGAAAGCGUAGCUAAUACCGCAUACGACCUACGGGUGAAAGUGGGGGAUCGCAAGACCUCACGUCAUAGGAGCGGCCGAUGGCGGAUUAGCUAGUUGGUGAGGUAAAGGCUUACCAAGGCAACGAUCCGUAGCUGGUCUGAGAGGACGACCAGCCACACUGGGACUGAGACACGGCCCAGACUCCUACGGGAGGCAGCAGUGGGGAAUUUUGGACAAUGGACGCAAGUCUGAUCCAGCCAUGCCGCGUGCGGGAAGAAGGCCUUCGGGUUGUAAACCGCUUUUGUCAGGGAAGAAAUCUUCUGGGUUAAUACCUCGGGAGGAUGACGGUACCUGAAGAAUAAGCACCGGCUAACUAC
rnacentral:rRNA from 1 species